rnacentral:rRNA from 1 species
GACGAACGCUGGCGGCGUGCCUAAUACAUGCAAGUAGAACGCUGAAAUAAGAGCUUGCUCUUAUGGAUGAGUUGCGAACGGGUGAGUAACACGUGGGGAACCUACCUUCUAGCGGGGGAUAACACAUAGAAAUGUGUGCUAAUACCGCAUAAUAGUAUUUGAUGCAUAUCAGAUACUUGAAAGGCGCAAUUGCGUCACUAGAAGAUGGCCCCGCGGUGCAUUAGCUAGUUGGUGAGGUAACGGCUCACCAAGGCAAUGAUGCAUAGCCGACCUGAGAGGGUGAUCGGCCACACUGGGACUGAGACACGGCCCAGACUCCUACGGGAGGCAGCAGUAGGGAAUCUUCGGCAAUGGACGCAAGUCUGACCGAGCAACGCCGCGUGAGUGAAGAAGGUUUUCGGAUCGUAAAACUCUGUUGUAAGAGAAGAACGUUGAUGAGAGUGGAAAGUUCAUCAAGUGACGUAUCUACCAGAAG